rnacentral:rRNA from 2 species
AGCGGCGGACGGGUGAGUAACACGUGGGUAACCUGCCUGUAAGAUUGGGAUAACUCCGGGAAACCGGAGCUAAUACCGGAUAACAUUUCGAACCGCAUGGUUCGAAAUUGAAAGAUGGUUUCGGCUAUCACUUACAGAUGGACCCGCGGCGCAUUAGCUAGUUGGUGAGGUAACGGCUCACCAAGGCAACGAUGCGUAGCCCACCUGAGAGGGUGAUCGGCCACACUGGGACUGAGACACGGCCCAGACUCCUACGGGAGGCAGCAGUAGGGAAUCUUCCGCAAUGGACGAAAGUCUGACGGAACAACGCCGCGUGAACGAUGAAGGCCUUCGGGUCGUAAAGUUCUGUUGUUAGGGAAGAACAAGUACCAGAGUAACUGCUGGUACCUUGACGGUACCUAACCAGAAAGCCACGGCUAACUACGUGCCAGCAGCCGCGGUAAUACGUAGGUGGCAAGCGUUGUCCGGAAUUAUUGGGCGUAAAGCGCGCGCAGGCGGUUUCUUAAGUCUGAUGUGAAAGCCCACGGCUCAACCGUGGAGGGUCAUUGGAAACUGGGGAACUUGAGUGCAGAAGAAGAGAGUGGAAUUCCACGUGUAGCGGUGAAAUGCGUAGAGAUGUGGAGGAACACCAGUGGCGAAGGCGACUCUCUGGUCUGUAACUGACGCUGAAGCGCGAAAGCGUGGGGAGCGAACAGGAUUA